GGGAAACUGCCCGAUGGAGGGGGAUAACUACUGGAAACGGUAGCUAAUACCGCAUAACGUCGCAAGACCAAAGUGGGGGACCUUCGGGCCUCACACCAUCGGAUGUGCCCAGAUGGGAUUAGCUAGUAGGUGGGGUAAUGGCUCACCUAGGCGACGAUCCCUAGCUGGUCUGAGAGGAUGACCAGCCACACUGGAACUGAGACACGGUCCAGACUCCUACGGGAGGCAGCAGUGGGGAAUAUUGCACAAUGGGCGCAAGCCUGAUGCAGCCAUGCCGCGUGUAUGAAGAAGGCCUUCGGGUUGUAAAGUACUUUCAGCGGGGAGGAAGGCGGUGGAGUUAAUAACUUCACCGAUUGACGUUACCCGCAGAAGAAGCACCGGCUAACUCCGUGCCAGCAGCCGCGGUAAUACGGAGGGUGCAAGCGUUAAUCGGAAUUACUGGGCGUAAAGCGCACGCAGGCGGUCUGUCAAGUCGGAUGUGAAAUCCCCGGGCUUAACCUGGGAACUGCAUUCGAAACUGGCAGGCUAGAGUCUUGUAGAGGGGGGUAGAAUUCCAGGU
rnacentral:rRNA from 1 species